AUUUAUCAUUUUUCCAUAAGUUGGACAAGAGUUUUACCAAACGUAUUCGAUCAAAAACCCAGCCUAAUGGGUGUUAAAUAUUAUAAUGAUUUAAUAAAUAAAUUGCUUCAAACUAAUAUUAAACCAGUGGUAAUACAAUUUUUCAUUCUAAAAUUAAUAGGUUUUUAUUACACUGAUAAUAUUACUAUAUAAAAAAAAAAUGAAACAAACUCAAAAAAAAAAUAUAUAUUUAAUCAAUAAGUGACUAUUUAUCAUUGGGACUUGCCUGAAUUUUUACAAAAACUUGGUGGUUGGACUAAUAUAAAAAUCAUUAAAUAUUUUGAAUAUUAUUGCGAAUUUGUUUUUGAAACAUUUGGAGAUAGAGUUAAAUACUGGAUUACAAUAAACGAACCUCAUUGGGUUUCUGAAGGAUAUAGAUUUGAUCAAUUAGCUCCAGCUUUGGGGUAUGCUUAUAGUGGAAUCGCUGAUUAUAUGGUUAUUCAUAAUUUAUUACUUGCUCAUGCAGCAGCAUACAGAUUAUACGAAAAGAACUAUAAAAAGACACAAAAAGAUUAAUAUUUAAUGGUGUUUUCCAAAAGAUUCUCAUAAUGAGGAAGAUAAAGAAGCUGCUGAAAUCGCAUUACAGUAUCACGUAGGCAUGUUUACUGAGCCUCUAAUAACUGUUGUUUAACCAAAAAAUGUCAUUAAGUCGAUCAAUAAAUCAAAUGAAGAUUUUAAUUUAACAAUUAAACGGACAUAUUCGUUCACAGAAGAAGAAAAAAAACAACUUAUAGGGUCCUAUGAUUUUGUAUCUAUUAGUUAUUAUCAUUCAACUUAUGUAAGAGCUUUAUCUAAAGAUGAAAGAGAACAAAGUGAUAAUUUAAGAAUGAAAGACAUACCAGUAAAUGAAACCGACAUACAAAAUAUUAACCAAAAUGCUUUAGGAUUUUCAUUAGUAUUAAACUGGUUAAAAGAAAAAUUCAAUAAUUCAGAAAUAUUCAUUGCUGAAAAUGGUUUCUCUGGUACAACGGAAGAUGAGAAAUCUGUUGAAAAGAAACAAUAUCAUCAUGUAAUAUAUUGUAAUAACACAUUUUGAAAUAAUCAAUUAAACAAUUGAAAAUUCUCUAAAAACAAAUAGUUAUUCUUAAAAAUUAAGCUUGACGGAGACUAAAAAUAGUUAUACCAUCAGGGUUAUGUUUAGAAGAGAAAAAUAAU